CAGGUCGAUUUGUUGAGACUCUAGUGUCUCUUGGAUUUGUUCAUCACUAAGAAAAAAAGGAGCGACAAGACAGCAUUAGAAUGAUAAUUAAUUCUUUAAUAAUCAACUUGUUUUUUGCUUGGUAAUUGUGUCGUGAUUUAUUUUCGGUAAUGAUCAACUGUGCUGAGAUUGGAUUUCAAACGGAAACCAAAUAAUUCAAUUCUAAUCUUCUUUUUGGCGUUUAGAAACCAGUCGAGUGUCCAACGCCCAUCGUCAAUCACGCGUGCAAGUGAAAGUGACAACGUCGGAAACAGCAGAAAUAAUAAAAGAGAUGAAAUGACCGAAUUUAUAACGGAACAAACAGCCGAAGGAAAGCCAUGACAGGAGGAACAAGGCGAUCGUUCCAUUAUUCCGCUCACGGAAUAUUCCAAAGACUCGUAUGGCUGCAUCACAUCUUGUGUUGGAACAUCUCCAAGUUAUGCAAAGUGUCGCCAUUUUAUGCAUUAUGAUUUUGGGCUUUUUUGAGAGAACCUUCCGUCUUUUGGUUUGUGUCGAAUCGUCCUGACCUUUCUCCCUUUUCGUUGCGACACAAAUAUCCUGCCGCCCACAACGGUCUGUUAAGUGGAGAGGUUCUGGGUGCAUUUCGAUCGAUAUCUCGUCCCGUGAAGGGUCCGCGAAUUGGUUUCGACGGGUUUCGAUGAUUCUAGUUGCGGCCUUUACGUUAGUGCUGCACGUGAUGGGUAUAGAAUUUGUGUCUAAUCGUCGUGUAUAUCGAUUUCAUCUUCGGUUAUCUAGUGCUUUAUUUAGUGAUCCAGUAGCUUUGCAAAUCAAUUUUCAUCCCAAAUAGGACGUCAUCACUACCUGUUAUGAUGAUGUGUUCCUAUAUUGCAUCCCUAAAGAUAGUCUGUGUCUUUGUCGGUAGCAAGGAUUCCUUAAAUUUCCGUGCGUAAUCUGAAGUGAUUUAUUAAAUUGAUUUGAAACGAAAUGUUUGUUUUGAAGACUGCUGUCUGCCCAUUAAUGUGAAUAAUUCCAUAAUUCGUGCGUCUUGUGAU